rnacentral:misc_RNA from 1 species
AAAUAAGGUCUCGAACGACCUACUGCUAUGCUCUAGUAAUUGUCCUGGACUGUAGAAUCUUCUCAAGCCUUGACAAUAAUUACAUCACUCUCCAUAAUAUGCUGAGCAAUUGAAGGAACAACAUUGUUGGCCGGCUUCUUUUUAAGGAGAGAUACAUGAAAUACUAGAUAAAUAUGAGAAUAAGAGGGUAAUUGCAGCUUGCAUGCCACCUAACCUACUCUGGCCAGUGCUUGAAAAGUCCCAUAGAACCUGGUUGCCAACUUCAAAUGCUUCCUCAAGGCAAUGGAGGUUUGCCUAUAAGGUUAUAACUUCAAGUACAACCGAUACCCAACAGCAAAUUCCCUCUCGCUUAUUUUCUUGUCAGCUUACUAUUUCAUUCUAUUCUUAGCUAGCUCAAAAUUUUCUUUCAGUAACCCUCAGAUUGUCUCUUCUUCUCUUCCAGAAAAAAUCCUCAACUACGUGCACCGGAGUUGUCUCAGAAGGAAUGGGGGGAAGAAUUGGAGGAUAAUACUGAUAAG